ACGUAGGUGGCAAGCGUUACUCGGAAUCACUAGGCGUAAAGCGCGCGCAGGCGGACAUUUAAGUUUGCUGUUUAAUCUCCAGGCUCAACCUGGAACAGUCGGCAAAUACUGGAUGUCUUGAGUAAGGUAGAGGAAAUCGGAAUUCCCGGUGUAGCGGUGAAAUGCGUAGAGAUCGGGAAGAACACCAGUGGCGAAGGCGGAUUUCUGGGCCUUUACUGACGCUGAGGCGCGAAAGCUAGGGGAGCAAACAG
rnacentral:rRNA from 1 species